AAAUUGAAGAGUUUGAUCAUGGCUCAGAUUGAACGCUGGCGGCAGGCCUAACACAUGCAAGUCGAACGGUAACAGGAAGCAGCUUGCUGCUUCGCUGACGAGUGGCGGACGGGUGAGUAAUGUCUGGGAAACUGCCUGAUGGAGGGGGAUAACUACUGGAAACGGUAGCUAAUACCGCAUAACGUCGCAAGACCAAAGAGGGGGACCUUCGGGCCUCUUGCCAUCGGAUGUGCCCAGAUGGGAUUAGCUUGUUGGUGGGGUAACGGCUCACCAAGGCGACGAUCCCUAGCUGGUCUGAGAGGAUGACCAGCCACACUGGAACUGAGACACGGUCCAGACUCCUACGGGAGGCAGCAGUGGGGAAUAUUGCACAAUGGGCGCAAGCCUGAUGCAGCCAUGCCGCGUGUAUGAAGAAGGCCUUCGGGUUGUAAAGUACUUUCA
rnacentral:rRNA from 2 species